CCCCCUUCAAUGAAUGCAGCAGUGUGACAGCCAGCAAUCAAAAGUUACAAGAUAUCGAGGAAAUGCAGAUGGCAAUAAACUGUGUAGGAGUUCAUGAUUGCAAUAGAAUAAAAUCGACCAAGCCUGAAGUCAGCAGCCCCUUCAAUGAAUGCAGCAGUGUGACAGCCAACAAUCAAAAGUUACAAAAUAUCGAGGAAAUGCAGAAGGCAAAAAACUGCGUAGGAGAUCAUUAAUACAAAAGUAUUAUAUAAACCAAACCUGAUGUUGCCAGCUCCUUCAAUGAAUGCAGCAGUGUGACAGCCAACAAUCAAAAGUAACAAGAUAUCGAGGAAAUGCAGAAGGCAAAAAACUGCGUAGGAGAUCAUUAAUACAAUAGUAUUAUAUAAACCAAGCCUGAUGUUGGCCGCUCAUUCAAAGAAUGCAGCAGUGUGACAGCCAGCAAUCAAAAGUAACAAGAUGUCGAGGAAAUGCAGAGUGUAAUAAACUGUGUAGGAGAUUAUGAUUGCAAUAGAAUAAAAUCGACCAAGCCUGAAGUCCUUCAAUGCACGCAGCAGUGUGACAGCCAGCAAUCAAAAGUUACAAAAUAUCGAAGAAAUACAGAAGGCAAAGAAGCAGAUGUCAUCAAAGAAGAUCUUUGUUCCUGCAAUGUUUCCGCAGACGAUACAUCCAACAGAGCGAAGUGGAAGGAAAAGACUCGGAAUAAAGACCCCACCACCAUAUGGGAACAAUGCAAGGGAGAGAGAGAGAGAAUAUAAUGUUAUAUUUUUAUUUUUUGAUAACAUAAAAUAAACCAACAAUAUCCUA
rnacentral:lncRNA from 1 species